rnacentral:lncRNA from 1 species
UAAGAACCCAAACCCUAGAGACCCCUCUCUUCACUCUCUCCUCUCUCUCACUCUCUCUUGCCACCACUGUGCGCCUCCGCCGGUGUUGGUCCAAACACCCCCAAAAUUACCACCAAUCUUCUUCUCUCCUCCUCAUCUCUCCAUAUCUUCAACUCAAAUCUCCCAAAACCUCACCGAUCUCCGCGAAUAGGAAGAAAUCCAAAACCCUAACCCCUUAUAUUUUCCCAAAUUCGUGAGUUUUCAGGCCACUUUACCCCCAUAAUACAUACAUGAACUUGUAAAUAUUUACACGAUCUAGAACAUUUCAUUAGUUUCAGUCCCAAAUCUGGCGACCAACUCACUGCCACGCGGCUCCACUGCCACCGCCGCUGCUUCUCCGUCUUUUAUUUUUUAAACCAAAUGCAUUUGUUUCCUUUUGGCAAGACACCGAAAUUUAUUGGUUUAGCGUCUGCCAAAGAGAAAUAUGCGCCUCGGGGUCGGACAACCACCUCUUAGCAUCCUCGGCAUCGUCUCGUUGCUCGAUUCGACGUCGGAUGUCCCAGAGUUUGGUAUAAGCUCGCACACUAAUCUACCCCCUUCAUAAUUUAUGUUUUUUUUCCCACCCGAGUGUAAGUUUUAGUUUAAUUUUUUGUUUUCAAUUAAUUGUUAAGCUGUGAUCGUUAGUUCAAGCUUACUUUCAUUAGCCUUCUUCAAUGUUUAGUCAUUGCUUAAUAUUUUUGAAUCAGGUACUUAGUCGUUUGCUUAGGUUGCUAUUAAUCGUUGUUCGAUAGUUUAUCAAUAUUUAUUUAAGUUUUAUUUUCGGCAGCGUUUCCUAAUUUUUGUCGUCUACUGUUAAUUCUCAUAAAUCGAUUGGCUUUAGUUUAGUUUGUGUGAAUACCUAGUUUGAUUACAUUUUAAAUCUUGUUUUUGUUUUGUCAAUUCUUAGUUGUUUGAGUUUGAUUUGGUUUGAAUCACAUAGUUUGAUACUAAUAUUGUAAGAGCUGAAGUUUAGGUUAUUUUAUCAUAAAAUAGGGUACUAGUAGUCUACUUUUUACUAGUAGGGUGGCUGAAAUGAUAUUUUUCUCCUUGCUUUUGACAUAGAAGAUUUUCACGUUGUCCUUUCACCUUUUGGACAGCCUUUGAAUAAUGUUUAGCACACAAAGUCAGUCCUUUUGGACAGACUUUUGGUGAACCAAAAUCUAUCCAAAAGUGAUUUUCUUGGCCUAUUUAGGGGCUGGUCUUCUCCUCACUUUAGGGACGGAUUCUUGCAUUGAGAGACCAUCUUAAAAAAAAAAAAAGACAGCCCGGUGCACUAAGCUCCCGCUAUUUGCGGGGUCCGGGGAAGAGCCAGACCACAAGAGUCUAUUGUACGCAGUCUUACCCUGCAUUACUGAGAGACCAUCUUUUACAUUCGGAAAAAAAGAAAGACAUAACUUAAGAAAAAUCAUCAGUUGAACAUCCAAAAGUAAGCUGAAAAACUGAAAGUUUGUGAGUUCUUUCUUCUUUUCCUAAGUCAUUAUGCUUUUGGUUUGAGCUUCUGGUUUGAAUCGGGUUUAAAAGAUUGUUGUUGGUCUGUUGCUGUUGUUGGAUUGGUUGAUGUGUUUCGAUAGUGAUAUACGAAGCCAAAUCCAUUACUAUUGUCCUGCUUUCGAAUUUGCAGUCUAGGUAACUUUUCUAGCUUGUAAAGUAGUUCAUUUUCAAAGAAAUAGAAGCAUGAAGUCCUUACUUGAUUUCUGAAUAUUCUUGUAACUUUCUGGUUAGAUCUUUAUGCUACUAAAAGAAGUGUUUGUCUCAUGUAUGAAGAAUCUGUGACUUCUUGUAGUGAUAUGUUGGCAUAAGUUAUUCAUUUUAAGUUAUUCUGGAUCAAUGUUAUAUUAUGAUAAAAACCAUAAUAUAAUUACAUGCUUAGUUUAGGUUCCAUGUUGAGUUUGGUUUAGUGUAUGGGCUUCAAAAACUAAGUAUGAACACUGUGUUAGUAAAAUAAGUUGGAUUCAUUAAUUAGUAUAGUAUACUAAGAGUUCUUGCAUUUAAAAUAAUAUGUAGGAGGGUUAGUUCUAUUUUCUCUUUCUGGUGAAUUUUCUUUUCAUAGCUAGUUAAUUUCUUAAUUCUUUUAAUUAUGGUAUCAACUAUUGGAAAAUUAAUUUGCAUAUAGUGGUGUUUCUUCACUGUUAAAAGGUAGUACAUAGUUAGACAAGAGGUUUCGUACUUUUGGGGCGGAUGGUCUGGUUUGGGCGUUUAGUAGGCAAAUUAUUUUGGCCAAAACUGAAAUCACAGUAGAGUUGGCUUCAUAAUAACUAAUAAUGGGCCAGAUGCCUUUAAAAGUACAUGAAUUAUGUCUCCUUAAAUUCGUUGCUGGCCCAUUUCUUUUGUUCUUCUUUUUAAUAAGUUGCUAGACCAUUUUGCAUAUAUAAAGAAAGUUGGCCCAAUGCCAAUUAAUAAGCUGAGGCCCAUAUCUUCUUUUAAAAGUAGCUGGAUCACUUUCAACUAAUAACAAGCAGCCCUUUUAGAUUGAUAAGUUGGCUUAAUUUUUUUAUUAUUUUAUUUAUAAUCUCAAUAAAUUCAAAUCAGAUUUUUCUUUUAUAAAAAAAAAAAAUUCAAUAAUUAAUCUCUCUUAAUUAAUUUAAACGAUUGGCAAUUUUAGUCACGUUUCAAAUGUUGACCAUGUGUUAAUACACGAUCCUUGGUCAACAUUUAAUUCAUAAAAUGGUCGCGUGUGCAUUCUCGCUCCUUGACCUUAAAUUAAUAAAUUAUAUUUUUCAGUAAUUAAUUGUAUUUAAACCAUGUGUACCGACAUGUUCCUUGGUUUAGUAUAUGUAAUUAAAUAAAGUCCUUGUGUACUUACCCGCUCCUAGGCCAAAAUUAAUAAAACUUUAUUAAUUAUUAAGCGGUACUAGACAAUAGUAAUUUAAGGCAAAUAAAACACACUUUAUCUAAAAAUAAUUCAAGCAAAAUUUAAUCAAUAAAAGCGACCGUGCUAGAACUACGGGAUUCAGGGAGUGUCUUAUACCUUCUCCCUGGUCAAUAGAAUUCCUCACCCGAUAUUCUGUUUUCGCGGACCAAUAAAAAUAGAGUCAAAUAUUUCUUUGACUAGGGAUUCAAAUAAAAAGUGACUUGGAACACCAACAAAAUUAAUUCAAAGUGGUGACUCUAUAAAUAAAAUAAUUCACACUCAAUUUUGGCACUUUAAUUGGAAAAAUCCUUUAAUCCACAUAUUAUUUUUUGCGGGUGAAAAAAAGUGUGUGACAGCUCUGGCGACUCUGCUGGGGAAUAUAAGAAUUCGAGCUUGUACAUUGAUUAAUUUUUGGCUUUUAUUUAUUUUUAGAUAUUUCUUUGUAUGUGAGCCUAAUGUGUUAAUUGUCGCUCAUUUACUAUUUUUAUAUUGUUUGAACUGUAUAUAUAAACUGUCUUCUCUCGCACCCCAUCUGAGUCUUCUGAUAGGUAAUAGUGUUAUGUGUGCUGACCAGCUCCACAAAAUUUUCUGUCUGAGAUAAAGCCAACGUGCAGACCUUCUCCCGGUGAAGGAUUUAAUGACACAUGUUUAAGCGGGGAGAACCACCAGUAAAGCCGGAACCUAGAAGAACAAACCUCAUACCGGUUAUCCCUAGUAGGAUCGUUUUGUUGCAUCAUUCGACUUAGCGAAGCUCGACACAUAGGUCGGGCUCAUAUAAGACAUAUAUUCUUUUAAAGACUAUAAUGUUCACUUAUGUGCUACUUGCUACAUCAUUUGGAAAGCUUAUUUGCAUUGUUGACCUGCUCUAGGAAAAUUAGAGCGAAGUUGGAAAUAAAAUAAUAAUAAAAAAAUCAUUCCCCCCGGUUCGGUACAGAUACCUAAUUUUUACUAACAUUUUCGAAGUGGUUCGGUGUAAGUUUUUUUUAAAAAAAAAAUUAAAUUAAUCAAAGUUUUGUUUGAACUACGCGGUUAAUUUUUUCUUAAGUUUUGUUUGAGCUACGUGGGUCUGAUUCUCAUGAAUCCGGUGGGAUACAUAGGCAACCCCCAAAAGGUUUGAUCAAAUAUUUUUCAAUGACUCUAGAAUGAGUGAUCGAAAUGAGGCAAGUGAAAGGAAAAACGAAAAAAAAAAAAGAAGAAGAAGAGGAAGAAGAGGAAGAAGAAGAAGGAAAUAAGAACAUCAAUAAGCAGCAACCUUAUAAGCCGGAAUGAAACAUGAAGCCUUCCAAAAUCAUGUUAGAGAUGGUGAUAAUUUUAGGAGCAUAGCAUAUUUACGUGUGAUUCGUAUCUGUAAAAUGCUUAACCCUGACACGUUUGUUGCCUCUUAUCUAGUAAGUUUAAGGUGGUUGGUUUGUGGUGAAACUGGCAACACAUUAUUACUUCACCAGAUCUAAGAGAAAGGUAGCAAUGGCUAACAAUGAUGAGAUCGAGCUAGUCAGUGACGACCCCCAGGGUCAGUCAGUUGAGCAAGAGUUGGAGGAAAUAAGAAAAUUGAGACAUCAAUUGUCUGAUGUAUAUCAAGCUUGGGUUUUCGGUCAGCCUUCACCCCGGGGUUCCUCAAAGGGAACUUCCACCGCACCCCUGGCUACUCAACCACCACUCCAUGCAACGAGCGAUCACAUUCUACCGGUAGGGUAUGUGCCAAACUACAACCUCCAUGCUUUCCCUAGUACCUCUAAUGUGCGACCUCCAGUCGCACCGAUCAGGAACACCCCUCUCGUCGUGUCUGGUGCACCGGUAUAUACAGUCCUGCCACUACCUCCUGUGACGAGGCCAAACUACGAGCUAUAAUCUCAUGCUAUUGAUGGCCAAUAAUACUCUCCAAAUAUGGCUUUUAGGAUCUCGGCUCCAUACAAUCAGACUCCUCAAUACGAGUCACCAGUGCAAAAGGAAAAGCCUGCCAAGACAGUUGAGCCAUAUGAGAUGGCCAAAAAAAUGAAAAGUUUUGAAUAGAACAUAAAGAACAUACAAGGACUAGGUGGUCAUAAAAGUGUUUCAUUCAGUGAUUUAUGCAUGUUCCCUGACAUCUAUUUGCCACCAGGGUUCAAGACCCCAAAAUUUGAGAAAUAUAAUGGACAUGGCUACCCUAUCACCCACUUGAAAAGGUACUACAACCAGCUGAUGGGUGCAAGUGGAAAAACAGAAUUGCUGAUGGUUUAUUUUGGGGAAAGUCUUGUGGGUGUAGCCUCCGAAUGGUUUAUUGACCAAGAUAUCUCUCACUGGCAUGUUUGGGAUGACAUGGCCCAAGCCUUCAUUAAACAAUUUCAGUGCAAUAUUGAUAUUGCACCAGAUCGCAAUUCCCUAUCCAAUACGAAGAAAAAGCUGACUGAAAGCUUUAGGGAGUAUGCCAUCAAGUGGAGGGAGCAAACGACUAGAGUUAAGCCACCCAUGGAUAACCACGAGUUAAUCACUAUUUUUCUGGAGGCUCAAGAGCCUGAUUAUUUUCAGAACAUGAUGUCCGCGAUGGGUAGACCUUUUGCAGAAGCAAUUAAAAUAGGGGAGAUGGCCGAAAAUGGCCUCAAGACUGGAAGAAUUGUAAGUCAAGCUGCUCUCAAAGCCACCACCCAAGCAAUCCAAAAUGGGUCGGGAAGUUUGGCAAAUAGGAAGAAGAGAGAAGAAGGGUCCAUGAUGACCUAGGGAUCUAGGGAAGUUCAAAGAGAGGGCAUCGCACCCUUAUGUGCAAGAUCAGCAGGGGCAAUACAGCUACCCUCAACAUUAUUAUCCCCCGUAAAUUCCUCAGUACUUUGUGGGCCCACCACAGUAUACAUUGUUUAAUGCUCAAUCCUAUGCCCGGCCUCCCAAUCAACAGGUACGGGUACCAUCUCUAAGGAUCCCCCGACCUCAGCAAUAAAAUUUUCGGACACCCUACAAUGCCCGUCAUAUGCAGGAUUAUGGUCGAGAGCAGAUGCCGAUGGAAAAAUUCACUCCAUUGGCUGAAUCAUACUCUAGUAUAUUCCAGAAAUUGAAGUAGAUGGGCGUGAUUGUACCCAUCGCUCCCCACUAUAUGCAUCCCGAUUCACAUGAAUUUCAAGCAAAUGUUACAUGUGAAUAUGACUCAGGUGCCCCGGGCAUAGCACUGAUGACUGUUGGACUCUAAAAAGAGCCAUAGAAAGACUCAUUGCUGAAAAAUUGAUUGUAGUGAUGAAUGGCGAGGACCCACCUAAUGUGACCAACAACCCGUUGCCAGUACACAAUGAUGUUCAUUUUGUGGGAAUGAUUGGUUGAGAUCAAGAAUACAAUCUGGUCGGUCGAGCAGAAAUGAUAGCGGGAACGAUUCAAGAGGGAACCAAACUGGAAGUAAGUCCAAGUCGAGAUGCACCGUUGAUUGAGAAAGGCUCCCCAAGCUCAGAAAAGACAACUUUAUUUGCUCCCAAGGUCUCGAGGUUGGAAGUUCGCUCCAAUGUUCCAAGCCUAAGGUUGUAUGUCUUUAAAGGCCACCCCAUCACAAGGCAGAAUCAGGGUGGUACGAAGGGUAUAACAAGGCCGAUCAUAAUCAAACCUGCCGUGCAACCCCCUAUGACAAAUACGAAAACCAUUCCUUGGAACUACAACAAAACUGUGGUGACCUACAAAGGCAAGGAAAUCAUAGGAGAAGUGGGGGAAACUUGAGGUUUGACUCGAUCGGGGAGGUGUUACUCUCCAGAAGAGUUGAGGAAGGCCAAGCAAAUCGGAGAAGGCCAAAUGCUAAUAAAGAAACUAGUCACUGAAGAAGAGGCAGAACAGUUUUUGAAAAAGAUGAAAGUGCAGGAUUACUCAAUCAUUGACCAGUUGAGAAAGACUCCUGUCCAAAUCUCUCUGUUAUCUCUGCUCAUACACUCAGAAGAGCAUGCCCGUGUACUAAUCAAGAUCCUCAACGAUGCACAUGUCUCAGAGAAGACCACUGUGAAUCAGUUAGAGAAGGUGGCCAACAGAUUUUUUGAGGUAAACAUAAUCUCAUUUACUGAUGAUGAACUUCCUGAGGAGGGAACUAUGCACAAUAGGGCUUUACACCUGAUUUUCAAAUGUGAUGGGCAUUAUGUAAAGCGAGUCAUAGUUGAUGGAGGCUCGAGUGUAGAUGUAUUCCCUAUCUCUACCUUGCAAAGCAUGAAGAUAAAUACAGAUAUAAUCCGACCCAGCAAUGUUCGCAUCCUGGCUUUUGAUGGCUCAACGAGAGAUACCAUUGGGGAGAUCAACCUCACCAUGACGAUUGGGCUGGUUGAUUUUGAAAUUAUCUUCUAAGUAGUGGACAUGGAAACUUCUUAUAACUUUCUUCUUGGAAUGCCAUAGAUCCAUACGGCCUGAGCUGUGCCAUCCACCUUGCAUCAGAAGCUCAAAUUCGAAUAUGACAGGUAAGAAAUUAUUGUUCACGGAGAAGACGAGUCAUCCAUUUACAAAGACCCAUUAAUCCCGUGUAUUGAGGCCAAGGAAGGAUGUGAGUCCAUUGUAUAUCAGGCUUUUGAAGUGGUUGCUUUGGACCAUGUUAGGGAAGGAAAGCCCAUUCUGCAUCCUCAUCUCUCCGCCACAUCUGUAAUGGUGGCACUUAUGCUGAGACAAGGUUAUGAGUCAGGAAAAGGCUUGGGGGCAUCAUUGCAAGGAAUUUCGGAACCCAUUUCUCCGUUCAGUAACAAGGGUACUUUUGGUUUAGGCUUCAGGCCAACACAAGCAGACGUAGACAAAACCAAGCACCACAAAAAGCAUGGGUGGGUAUUGCAGCAACCUAUCCCUCACAUUUUCUAUACUUUUGUCAAGCCACGACUCUAAGAGGGUCAAAAUUCCUCGGCGCAUGCUAUGGCUGUCCAACGGGACGGGACGGGACGGGACGACAUUUAGCCGGGACGGUGGCGGGACGAGACGAAAUGGGACGGGACAAACGGGAUGAAAUGGUAGGCCCAUCCCGUCCCGCUAACAAAUGGGACGGGACGGGACGGACGGUAGGCCCAUCCCAUCCCGCUAACAAACGAGAUGGGACGGGACGGAACGGGACGGGACGGGUUCGCGGGCCUUAAGUGCCAUUUUAAAAAAAAUUAUUUAAGCACUGAGUUUGACAACGGAUAUUCUUUUGGCAAUGACUAAGUUUUUAAAGUUUGCAACAUCUAAUUUUUUGACUUAUUCAAUAAAUUUAAAAAUUAAACAAAAAUUAGAAAACUAAGUAAAGAAUUAUAAAAUAUUAAAACAAAAGAUUUGUAAUAAAAUAUUCUAGCAAUUAUAAAUAUAUAAUAGAGUUAUAAUUUAUUUAAUAUAAUUUCGAGUGUAAGAGAAUUCAUAAAACAAAUUCAACGCUUAGAGCCUUUUAUUUUAUUAAUAGAACUUUCAAAUCUCACAUACAAAUAUAAUUCUUUUGAAGAGCACCUAAUCUAUGCAGCCACCUUCUACUCGCUUUAUUAGCCCGAAAAAUAUAGCCGCAAGCAUGUUGUACUUUACUACAAGCAUCAAAAAAUAAAUUAAUACCAUCUUUUACAACCAAGUUAAAAAUAUGGCAUGCACAUCUAACAUGAAAAAUUACCGGAUUAAUUGGACAAAAUCUAGUUCUUAAACUAGUUGCUGCAGUUGUGUUAGCAGAAGCAUUAUCUAAGGUGAUAGUUAAAACUUUAUCAAUGAGUCCAUAAAAAUCAAGUAUUUGUAGAACAGUAGUUGCAAUAUAUACUCCAGUGUGUUUUGAAUCAACAAAUUUAUAACCAAUAAUACAUUUUUGCAUGUUCAAGUGAUGAUCAAACCAAUGACAUGUAACAGUUAAAUAAUCACAACCAUUAGGACUACGGCCUAUAUCAGAUGUGAUGGACACUUUACAAUCUAAGUGAAAAAAUACACAACGAAUAUACUGAAGAUAUUCGGUUUGAAAUUUAAAAACAUCAUUUCUAACUGUAGUCUUAGGAAAACCUUGAAAAGAAGGAUUAUAAGUUUCUUGUAUAUAAUGAACAAAAGCAGGGUGAGAAGGAAAGGUAAAAGGUAAGCCACAUACAGCUACCAUUUUUGCUAAGUUCUCACGAUCUCUAUCUUUGUUAUAUGGGCGUAAAAUCGUACUAGAAGCAGGGUCAAGCUGUUGUUGUAAAAAAUUAGAACCCCCGCCAGAUAUACUAGGAGUGCUAGUACCAGUGCUAGGAUCCUAUAUUUGUCCGGCUUCUAUUUUAGCUUGUAUCCAUAAAGCUUUGUGGUCCCUACCUAAGUGCCUAGAUAAGCCCCCCGUCCCACCACUUUUGGUGUGCACAAAUCGUUACUUACAUAUUUCACAUGUAGCACGUUGGUUGACUUUAUCAUGUUUAAAAAAUUUUCAUACAAGUGAUGUUUUGGGACGUUCACCCUUAGGCUUACCCCUUACAGGAGGUACAGGGGGUAAAGUUCCAGAUCGAGAUUGACUCUGAGUUGGAGCUUGUGUUACGGGACUAGUGGGUGUUUCAUCUAAUUCUUCUUCCUCAUUUUCUUCAUCCUCAUUUUCUUCAUCCUCAUUUUCUUCGUCCUCAAUAAAAAUAUCCUUGCCAAAUUGUCUUUGUAAAGUUUCAUGAUCUAGUUGUUCUCCGAAAUUAAUANNNNNNNNNNNNNNNNNNNNNNNNNNNNNNNNNNNNNNNNNNNNNNNNNNNNNNNNNNNNNNNNNNNNNNNNNNNNNNNNNNNNNNNNNNNNNNNNNNNNNNNNNNNNNNNNNNNNNNNNNNNNNNNNNNNNNNNNNNNNNNNNNNNNNNNNNNNNNNNNNNNNNNNNNNNNNNNNNNNNNNNNNNNNNNNNNNNNNNNNNNNNNNNNNNNNNNNNNNNNNNNNNNNNNNNNNNNNNNNNNNNNNNNNNNNNNNNNNNNNNNNNNNNNNNNNNNNNNNNNNNNNNNNNNNNNNNNNNNNNNNNNNNNNNNNNNNNNNNNNNNNNNNNNNNNNNNNNNNNNNNNNNNNNNNNNNNNNNNNNNNNNNNNNNNNNNNNNNNNNNNNNNNNNNNNNNNNNNNNNNNNNNNNNNNNNNNNNNNNNNNNNNNNNNNNNNNNNNNNNNNNNNNNNNNNNNNNNNNNNNNNNNNNNNNNNNNNNNNNNNNNNNNNNNNNNNNNNNNNNNNNNNNNNNNNNNNNNNNNNNNNNNNNNNNNNNNNNNNNNNNNNNNNNNNNNNNNNNNNNNNNNNNNNNNNNNNNNNNNNNNNNNNNNNNNNNNNNNNNNNNNNNNNNNNNNNNNNNNNNNNNNNNNNNNNNNNNNNNNNNNNNNNNNNNNNNNNNNNNNNNNNNNNNNNNNNNNNNNNNNNNNNNNNNNNNNNNNNNNNNNNNNNNNNNNNNNNNNNNNNNNNNNNNNNNNNNNNNNNNNNNNNNNNNNNNNNNNNNNNNNNNNNNNNNNNNNNNNNNNNNNNNNNNNNNNNNNNNNNNNNNNNNNNNNNNNNNNNNNNNNNNNNNNNNNNNNNNNGCAACUAAUUGGCCCAGACACCAUGCUCAACAACUGGGAAGCAACUCUUCUCCCCACAAGGAAUGAGUCUUGGUAGUUUGCUUUUGCAGCUUCUUUUUUGUACUUUGGGUUACUUUCAGGGUUGUAAUCCAAACAUCUCAAUAUGAUUGUUUUAUUUUGAUGUUAACCCUUCUAUCCUUUCAAAUUCAAUGAAAUACAGUUUAGUUUGGUAUUAAGUUUUGUAUCUUUUCCUUUUCCUAAUUCCUGUCAUUUUGUUUCCAUUUCAGUUUUGUUAAUGCCGGCUUUAAUAAUAUGACAUACAUGCGGAAUUCACUCCCGGAUAUCAAAACGCUGUCUAAUUUUGAAAUAAUGCAUCAAGAGGUCGAAUAUGAUGAAGAUGAGGAUGUUGAGGAAAUAAAAAGAGAGUUGGAACAAUUUGAAAACAAGCCUAAGCCCAACCCCAAUGAAACUGAUCCAAUUAAUAUCGGAAGUCAUGGAGAAGUUAGAGAAACAAAGAUAAGCAUUCACACCAAACAAAAAACCAGAGAUUCCUUGAUUCAGCUUUUAUUUGAAUACAGAGAUGUGUUUGCUUAGUAUUAUGAUGAUAUGCCGGGUUUAAGUGUUGAUCUAGUGGUUCAUAAGCUUUUCACAUAUCCUGAUUUUCCACCAGUCCAACAAAAGCAACGUAAAUUUAAAACGGAAAUGAGUAAAAAAUCAAAGAGGAAAUAAUGAAGCAACUGAGCGCCAAUGUGGUCAGAGCUGUCCGAUACACCACCUGGGUGGCAAAUGUUGUGCCUGUACCAAAGAAGGAUGGAAAAACCAGAGUCUGUGUUGACUACAGGGACCUGAAUAAAGCAAGUCCAAAAGAUAAUUUUCCUUUACCAAAUAUGCACAUUCUUGUAGAUAAUUGAGCAAAGCAUAAGAUACAAUCAUUCGUGGAUUACUAUACUGGGUACCAACAGAUUCUAAUGGAUGAGGAUAAUGCAGAAAACACCGCUUUCACCAUUUCAUGAGGUACUUAUUGUUACAGGGUCAUGCCAUUCGGUUUGAAGAAUGCAAGGGUAACUUACAUGAGGGCCAUGACUACCAUUUUCCACGACAUGAUGCACAAAGAGAUUGAAGUAUAUGUCGAUGAUGUCAUCAUAAAAUCAAAGACAAAGGUUGAUCACGUGCGUGAUUUGAAAAAGUUCUUUGAACGGCUUCGAAGGCAUAACCUUAAGCUCAAUCUAGCCAAGUGUGCAUUUGGGGUUCCAUCUGGGAAACUCCUCGAUUUUAUAGUCAGCCGGAAAGGCAUCGAAUUGGAUCCAUCUAAGAUAAAGUCCUUUCGAGAUCUGCCACCCUUGGAGAACAAAACGGAGGUCAUGAGUUUGCUCGGGAGGUUGAACUACAUCAGUAGGUUCAUUGCUCAGCUCACAACCACAUGCGAGCCUAUCUUUAAGUUGCUAAAAAAAGAUGUUGCUACCAAGUGGACAAACGAUUUCCAAAAAGCUUUUGACAAGAUCAAAGAUUAUUUGUCAAAAUCCCCUGUACUGGUCCCACCUGAACCUAGUAAGCCUUUGGUUUUAUAUCUAUCGGUGAAGGAUAAUUCCUUUGGAUGCGUUCUGGGGCAACAUGAUGCAACAGGCAAAAAGGAACAUGCAAUCUAUUAUUUGAGCAAGAAGUUCACCAAUUAUGAGGUUAAAUACACCCUUUUAGAAAAGACAUAUUGUGCCUUGACUUGGGUCGCUCAGAAGCUGAGGCAUUAUCUUUUGGCCUACACUACUUACCUCGUAUCCAGAAUGGAUUCUUGAAGUACAUCUUCCAAAAGCCAAUGCCUACNNNNNNNNNNNNNNNNNNNNNNNNNAUGAAAGCACAGGCUUUGGCAGAUCAUUUGGCAGAGAAUCCAGUUGAUGAUGAUUACAAGCCACUUAGCACAUACUUCCCAGACAAAGAGGUCAACUCAAUAGAGGAAGUAGUUCCGGACGACAACCAUGUAUGGACAAUGUAUUUUGAUGGGGCUGUCAAUAUUAAAGGAGUUGAGAUCGGGGCAAUCCUCAUCUCACAUAUUGGACAACAUUACCCUGCAACGGCCCGACUUCGGUUCUUCUAUACCAAUAAUAUGGCAGAAUACGAAGUUUGUAUCAUGGGUCUAAAAAUGGCCCUCGAUCUGGAGGUGCAUGAACUAUUAGUUGUGGGAGAUUUUGACUUGCUUAUCCGGUAAGCCCAAGGCGAAUGUGAGACUCAAGACAUCAAGCUUGUUCCAUACAGACAAUGUGUACAAGACCUGAGCAAAAGAUUCAAAUCCAUCGAAUUCAAGUACAUUCCCAGGUUUCACAACGAGCUAGCCGACGCCUUGGCUACCUUAGCCUCGAUGCUCCCUUAUCCAAGCAACACUCAUAUUGAUCCAUUGCAAAUCCAAGUUCGGAAUCAGCAUGGUUACUGCAAUACAAUUGAGGCAGAACCAGAUGGUGAACCAUGGUAUCAUGACAUAAAACGAUUCUUGAAAACAAAGGAGUACCCAGAGCAUGCCAAGGGAGAUAAAAAAAGAACUAUAAGGCGGUUCGCCGACGGUUUCUUCCUGAAUGGGGAAACUUUGUACAAAUGGACCCCAGAUUUGAACUUAUUGAGAUGCAUAGAUGCCACAGAAGCUGAGCGAAUCAUAAGUGAAGUGUAUUCAGGGGUAUGCGGACCUCACAUGAAUGGACAUGUUUUGGCAAAGAAAAUUCUGCGGGCAUGGUAUUAUUGGCUUACUAUGGAGCGAGAUUGCUUCAGUUUUGUUCGCAAGUGUCACCAAUGCCAGAUUCAUGGUGACCUGAUUCACUCGCCUCCAUCGGAGUUGCAUCCUAUGUACUCUCAUUGGUCUUUCAUUGCUUGGGGAAUGGAUGUUAUUGGUCCAAUCGAGCCAAAGGCUUCAAAUGGGCAUAGAUUCAUUCUGGUCGCCAUUGACUACUUCACCAAGUGGGUGGAGGCAGAUACUUUCAAAGCAGUCACCAAGAAAGCAGUGGUAGACUUCGUUCAUUCCAGCAUCAUCUGUCGUUAUGGUAUCCCAAAGACCAUUAUUACUGACAAUGCGGCCAAUCUAAAUAGAUGAAGGAGGUAUAUGAGCAAUUUAAAAUUGUGCAUCGCCAUUCUACCCCUUACCGACCAAAAGCCAAUGGAGUCGUUGAAGCGGCAAACAAGAACAUCAAGAAGAUUCUCAGGAAGAUGAUCCAAGGGUCCAGACAAUGGCAUGAAAAAUUGCCUUUUGCUCUUUUGGGAUGCCACACGACUGCUCGCAUAUCUGUUGGUGCAACUCCUUAUCUGCUUGUAUAUGGAACUGAAGAUGUAAUACCAGCAUAAGUCAAAAUUCCCUCUCUCUGAAUCAUUAUGGAAUCGGAGAUUGAAGACACUGAGUGGGUCAAGACCCGAUUAGAACAGCUAAUGUUGAUUGAUGAAAAACGGCUAGCAGCAGUGUGUUUUGGCCAGUUAUACCAGCAAAGAAUGACACGCGCUUAUAACAAGAAAGUGCGCCCAAGGCAUUUUGAGGUAGGCCAGCUCGUUUUAAAAUGCAUCCUUCCGCACCAGGUAGAAACUAAAGUAAAGUUCGCCCCGAACUGGCAAGGACCCUACAUCAUCAAGAAAGUAUUAACAAAAGAGGCUUUGCACUUGGUAGAUGAAGAAGGACUGGUACCAUACAUGAUUAUUAAUGCAGAUGCAGUCAAAAGAUAUUAUGUUUGAUUCAUACCCACUGCAGAACUUACACACAUGAUUUUCUCAGAUCGAGAUAACGAAGGCUAUCUUUGCUCACUACCCCAAAUAGGUGUCAUCCUUUUGUUAACCCUUUUGAGCCAUAUUUGUCUUAUUGGUUUUCCCUCAUUUUGGAACCUCUGUACUUGUAAAAGAAAAAAAAGAAAAAAGAAACAAAUCUUCUGAGUCAGUGAACUACGUCUGACAUGAUUCCGAAAGGAUACGUAGGCAGCCUUACCCUGGGUUCGGUCCUAUUGCAACAAAAAAUCCAUAUUCCCAAUACUCCAAAACGAGGCAGAAGUUUGUUUUAUUUUACAAUUUUUUUCUGUAAAAACGGUUCUAAAAGUUGUAAUUCAGUUCAAGGUUCUUUUGAGAAUGUUUGAAAUCCCCAUGCCAAGGGAGUUUAGCAACCCUCCGCAUGCAAUAUUUUAGUCAAUAAAAAAAAGAAAAAAAAGAAAAGCAAAGAAAUGAGAGAGUCUUAUCGGUGAGAACCCGUAUGGGCACUGUAAGGAGACAGUGAGCAGAGAAAUGAGAGUGUCUUAUUGGUGAGAACUCAGAUGAGCACCAUAAGACGACGAUGAUUAGAGAAAUGAGAGAGGCCAGUUAGCGAAAACCCGCAAAGGGUGCUACUAGCCAAAAAAGGGUCUUCGAUACCCAGGCAUGAGCACAACUAAGACAGUUUCAAGAUGAACAUUUGCGAUGGAUUUUGAGAAUUAGACAGCGCAGACGGAUCGGGCAUCCAGUCCAAAAUGCAUGCCAUGAUUCAUUGAAGUCGGCACAUACCUCCAGAUAAGUCUCCCUAUUCCUCUCCCCGAAAGGGACACCAUUUGUUUAUACACAAUUCCUUUUUAAUGUUUAAUUGCUCUUAUAUUUUUUCCCAUAAUUUUUCUUUGAGUCCCUUCGGUCUAAUCUUGCAUAAAAAGCAAAGCAAAGAAAUGGCUGCAAAACUGGCUACAACUUUCCCGUAAUAUCGAGCACAAUUUGGGGCACAUAUGGCAUUGACAAAGGCACGAAUUCAUCCGUGAUCUCUUUUGAUAAGCCAAAUAAAGUGUCUCAAAGAAACUAAAAAGGUCUCCUAAGCAAGAUUUGCUUCAUGGGAAAAGUUGAUAAGCACUACAAAUACAAACUGAUACUAGGUGCAAGAUAACUAAGUUUGAUUUUAAAGAAAAACUUGCCUUGCCUUAGGGACACAAGUUGGAGGUACCAUGGACAUCCGGGUAUGAAAAAGUCAGUGGCAACGUCAGAAAGCCAAGGUCACCAGAAAGUAAUACAGAGUAUCUGAGCACCUCGGUACCGCACCAAAAGAAUCAAUUCUUUGACAACGAGUGGUCAUGAAUUCACACUGCUCAGGGCAUCAAGGCCAUAAACCAAAUACCACUUUGAAAACUCACAAUUUUUCUUUGUUUGAAGCAGGAACAAAGCAGUGCAUAAUGGCGAUUCUCAAAGGACGAACGUCACAAAAGGUAAGUUCCUCAAAAUCUCCAUUUUCUUUUAUUUUCAGCAUGCGUCACUACUAUUCAUACCUCUCAUUUUCGUAGCUUAACUCAUGUAGAACUUUUUUGCCUAGGGGGAUCCAGCUCAUAUUUCUCAAUAGAAGUACUUUUCGCUCAGGUUUGUUUUAUGUUAGCUUAACUCAGGUAGAACCCUUUCGCGUAGAGGGAUUCAACACUUUAUCCAUAAUUCAGGGUGCCAACCCCUGGUUAUAUUUUCUUUCAGUAAUACAGGGUACCAACCCCUGGUUUCAUUCCUUUCGGUAAUAUAGGGUACCAACCCCUGGUUACACUCAUUUCGGUAAUACAAGGUAUUAACCCCUCGUUACAUUCCUUUUCGGUAAUACAGGGUACCAACCCCAGGUUACACUCCUUUCGAUAAUACAGGGUACCAACCUCUGGUUAUAUUCCUUUUCAGUAAUACAGUGUACAAACCCCUGGUUACAUUCUUUUUAGUAAUACAGGGUACCAAACCCUAGUUACAUUCCUUCUCGAUAAUACAUGGUGCCAACCCCUAGUUACACUCAUUUUAGUAAUACAGGGUGCCAACCUAUAGUUACACUCCUUUCAGUAAUAUAGGGUACCAACCCCUGGUUACACUCCUUUCGAUAAUACAUGGUACCAACCCCUUGUUACAUUCCUCUUCAAUAAUACAGGUUACUAACCACUGGUCACAUUCCUUUCGGUAAUACAGGGGACCAACCCCUAGUUACAUUCCUCUUUAAGAAUACAGGGUGCCAACCCCUAGUUACAUUCCUUUCAGUAAUACAGGGUACCGACCCCCUGUUACUUUCCUCCUCAGUAAUAUAGGGUACCAACCCCUGGUUACAUUCCUUUCCAGUAAUACAGGGUACCAACCCCUGGUUACUUUUCUUCUCAGUAAUACAGGGUGUCAACCCCUGGUUACACUCAUUUCAGUAAUACAGGGUAUCAACCCCUGGUUACAUUCAUCUUUAGUAAUAUAGGGUACCAACCCCUGAUUACAUUCAUCUUUAGUAAUAUAGGGUACCAACCCCUGGUUACAUUCCUUCCUAGUGAUACAUGGCGCCAACCCCUGGUUACUUUCCAUUUAGGUAAUACAGGGUACCAACCCCUAGUUACAUUCAUUCUUAGUGAUACAGGACGCCAACCCCUGGUUAAUUUCCAUUUCAGUAAUACAUGGUACCAACUCCUGGUUACAUUCAUUCCUAGUGAUACAAGGCGCGAACCCCUGGUUACAUAUAUUUCCCAGUAAUACAGGGUGCCGACCCCUAGUUACGUUUUCCUUCAAGUAAUACAAUGUGCCAUUCCUUAAGUGCUUUCCCUUAUGGCAACCCAGGGUACCACCCCCCUGGUUUGCAUAUCUUCUUGGUAACGUGGGGUACACAAUCCCUCAUUAUAAAUUUCAUCUCUUUUAGCUACUUUAUACUACUGUCUCUGCAUGUCUUUCAACAGAUUAGAUAGUUUAUAGCUUUCUCUGAUAACUCACAAAAUUUUGUUCGUUUUGUUCGUCUUUGAUGGCUUUGCAGGCCCUGCCGUAGAGCACAAGUGAUGAUUAAAGCUUGCAGUUUCAGUUUCUCAUCAGAAGAAAGAAGUCUUUCGAUCACAAGAUAGUUGGAGUUAGCUUUGAUAAUGUGUCAGCAACCCAGCUUCUCAAGUUUCACUUUCCCAAAUUCUGAUCCGGAAAUCAAGCAAUCAAGAAUGAGCCAUAAUCUUUUCUUCAAAGAGCGUCAAGAUCCAAUCUAAGGUCAGCACAAGCGAGCAUAUCAAGAAUCAAGAUUUGACUCUACAAGACACAUAGAUAGGAAUUUUGUAACUCUUAGCUUGCAGGCAUAUGUAGUUCUCUUCAUUUUUUCCUUUUGAUAUAAGCAGCAGAAAUAGUAACAAAAGUAACAGCAGUAACAACAAGAAGCAACAGUCUUAAAUCCAGUGUCCGAUACUCCCAGCUACCAAAUUUUCCUAAAACUACACUGACCUGAUUCCUUUAUAGCCAGGGAUAUGUAAGCAACCUCAGAAGCAAGGUUCGGUCAUGUUUUUCAAAAAUGCUUCCCUUGGAGUGAUAUGUGAGAGAAAUUAGUCAUGCUAUUCACUAUCUUUGCACGAAAACUCUUCAUGUUCUCGAGCAAAGAGGGGCAACUGUAAAUGACUAAUUUUUGUUUUUCUUUUUCUUCCACAUUAUAAUUUUUAGUAUUGUUAUGUGUGUAUUUGUAUAUUUUGAAUUAGACUUUAAUUUAAUUAAUUGUUGUUAGGUUCAAGGGAUUGGGUUUCUUUAUUUUCAUCCAAAUUGGGCAAAAAUUUGAGGCAAAGCAGCAGCCCAAAUCAUGUUAACCCAGUCCAAGAUGAUUCUAAGAUCGAACGACGUAGUUUUAUGUUGAAACUACGUCAUUUCAUUUAGUAAUAUGAAGACUUGAUCUCAUCCAUCCAUGAUCUUUGAUCCAAAGGCUCUCAUUUGUUCAACUUUGAGGUAUAAAAGCCUUUUAAAAUCAGAUUUUUUGCCAUUUCUCUAAGAACCCAAACCCUAGAGACCCCUCUCUUUACUCUUUCAUCCUCUCACCCUCUCUUAAGUUGCCGCCCCCCUCCACUGCCACCACCGUGCGCCACCGCCGGUGUUGGUCCAAACACCCCCAAAAUUACCACCAAUCUUCUCCUAUCCUCCCAAUCUCUCCAUAUCUUCAACUCAAAUCCCCUAAAACUUCACUAAUCUCCGCUAAUAUGAAGAAAUCCAAAACCCUAUCCCCUUAUAUUUUCCCAAGUUCAUGAGUUUUCAGGCCACUUUACCCCAUAAUACAUACAUGAACUUGUAGAUCUUUCCACGAUCUAGCACUUUUCAUUAGUUUAAGUCCCGAAUCCGUCAACCAAAAUUCAGUGACCACCUUACUGCCGUGCGGCUCCGCUGCCACUGUCGCUGCUUCUCCGUCUUUUAUUUUUUGACCCAAAGGAAUUUGUUUCCUUUUGGCAAGAUGCCGGAAUCUAUUGGUUUAGCGUAUGUCAAAGAGAAAUAUGUGUCUCGGGAUCGGACAACCACCACUUGGCAUCCUCGGCAUCGUCUCAUUGCUCGAUUCGACGUCGGAUGUCCCGGAGUUUGGUAUAAGCUCGCACCCUAAUCUUUUCCCCCCCCCCUUUUUUUUUUCAUAAUUUAUGUUUUUUCCCCAUCCGAGUGUAAGUUUUAGUUUAAUUUUAUAUUUUUAAUUAAUUGUUAAGUCGUGAUUGUUAGUUCAAGUUUACUUUCAUUAGCCUUCUUCAAUAUUUAGUCGUUGCUUAAUAUUUUCGAAUCAGGUACUUAGUCAUUUGUUUAGGUUGCUAUUAAUCAUUGUUCGAUAGUUUAUC